AUAGUGCUCAGAGCCAUUUGAACCAUUUUUUGAACGAUACAGAGAAGAUUAGCAUGGCCCCUGCGCAAGGAUGACACGCAAAAUCGUGAAGCGUUCCACAUUUUA